rnacentral:lncRNA from 1 species
AUGUGGCAAGGAUGCACUAUUCAUAAAUUUCUUUAUGCGGAUAUGAUCUUUGAAGCAGAGGGUUUCGCCGAAAGUAGGUUCUCUAUGCAUGGCAUAUAAAGGUAAACCUUGGUUAUAUCCCAUCCUACCAAAUCAUAUCAAUAGUUUGACUAUAGGUGAGAUUCUAUUGGGUAUAAUAGUUGUUGUAUUCAGUUAUCAGUUAUCAGUCUAUUAAAUAAAAUAGGGUCAUAUGAUGAUCGCCGUAAUCAUGGAUAGCUAAGGAAAUUGUAAUUAUGCUUAUGUUUAUAAUAACAUCCACCACCAGAAGUGGAAACAAGAAUUAAAUGAGAAUUAAAUAAGAAAACAAUAAAAGUGUUACAUUCAUUACAUCCUAUCCAUCAUUUUUCUACCAUAGCCUAAAUUAUAAAACAUCCUAUCCAUCAUUUUUCUACCAUAGCCUAAAUUAUAAAAUGAUGCUUAAAUUAUACAAUGAUGCUAUGCUAACUUUUUAUAGAAACUUGAAACAUAAUAAAAUAAGUUUUGGUGAGUAAGAUAAAAAUAGUGGAAGGAAUGUGGGAGACUUUUUUAAAAAUGGCAUAAACUUUAAAAUUUUAAGUUAAUUCAUAGAGUAGAAAAAGGCGAAGAAGACGAUGUAAAUGCUCUUAUAAUAUGAUAGUUUGAAAUGUUAAUUCAAAAAUUACUCUCAUAUUCUUUGUCUUUUAAAAUUUAAUGAAAACAUAAGUUACGAACCAUGAUUGCAUAAUUGGUUUACAUGUUGGGUUAGACCAUCCCUAUUUAAUGGUGUGGUGGUGUGAAGUUACCGGUUUAAAAUCCUUAGGACAUAAUAGAAUUAAAUUGGUAACUGUACAUUUAAUGUUCGCUCUCAAGAAAGAUUAAAUAUUUUCCAACUAUGUGCGAUUCUAAAUAUUCUGUGUGUAUGUAUCGUCUAAUUUUUAUCAAAUUUGGGACUUGAAUUUUGUGUGAUAUGUGGCUUAGACAAUAAAUUGCAAGCACAUUUGUAGUAUCCAACCUUUCAUAGCAAUUUUUUCUGCCUUGCGCAUGAGGAGCUUAGGGAUUUGUUUUUAGUUGCCCGAGUGGAAACUUCACAGGAAGUUGUCUUAAUGGAUUGCUUCUACCAAAGAUCUUGG